rnacentral:tRNA from 1 species
GGGCCUUUAGCUCAGCUGGUUAGAGCAACCGGCUCAUAACCGGGCGGUCUGGGGUUCAAGUCCCUAAAGGCCCACCA